rnacentral:piRNA from 1 species
UCCUAGUGUUCACAUUAUGCAAAUCGCAGA